rnacentral:rRNA from 1 species
UCAAGUGAAGAAGCGCAUACGGUGGAUGCCUUGGCAGUCAGAGGCGAUGAAAGACGUGGUAGCCUGCGAAAAGCUUCGGGGAGUCGGCAAACAGACUUUGAUCCGGAGAUGUCUGAAUGGGGGAACCCAGCCAUCAUAAGAUGGUUAUCUUACGCUGAAUACAUAGGCGUAAGAGGCGAACCAGGGGAACUGAAACAUCUAAGUACCCUGAGGAAAAGAAAUCAACCGAGAUUCCCUUAGUAGUGGCGAGCGAACGGGGACUAGCCCUUAAGUGGCUUUGAGAUUAGCGGAACGCUCUGGAAAGUGCGGCCAUAGUGGGUGAUAGCCCUGUACGCGAAAAUCUCUUGGUCAUGAAAUCGAGUAGGACGGAGCACGAGAAACUUUGUCUGAAUAUGGGGGGACCAUCCUCCAAGGCUAAAUACUACUGACUGACCGAUAGUGAACUAGUACCGUGAGGGAAAGGCGAAAAGAACCCCGGAGAGGGGAGUGAAAUAGAUCCUGAAACCGUAUGCGUACAAGCAGUGGGAGCCCACUUUGUUGGGUGACUGCGUACCUUUUGUAUAAUGGGUCAGCGACUUAUUUUCAGUGGCGAGCUUAACCGAAUAGGGGAGGCGUAGCGAAAGCGAGUCUUAAUAGGGCGUCUAGUCGCUGGGAAUAGACCCGAAACCGGGCGAUCUAUCCAUGGGCAGGUUGAAGGUUGGGUAACACUAACUGGAGGACCGAACCGACUACCGUUGAAAAGUUAGCGGAUGACCUGUGGAUCGGAGUGAAAGGCUAAUCAAGCUCGGAGAUAGCUGGUUCUCCUCGAAAGCUAUUUAGGUAGCGCCUCAUGUAUCACUGUAGGGGGUAGAGCACUGUUUCGGCUAGGGGGUCAUCCCGACUUACCAAACCGAUGCAAACUCCGAAUACCUACAAGUGCCGAGCAUGGGAGACACACGGCGGGUGCUAACGUCCGUCGUGAAAAGGGAAACAACCCAGACCGUCAGCUAAGGUCCCAAAGUUAUGGUUAAGUGGGAAACGAUGUGGGAAGGCUUAGACAGCUAGGAGGUUGGCUUAGAAGCAGCCACCCUUUAAAGAAAGCGUAAUAGCUCACUAGUCGAGUCGGCCUGCGCGGAAGAUGUAACGGGGCUCAAACCAUACACCGAAGCUACGGGUAUCACGUAAGUGAUGCGGUAGAGGAGCGUUCUGUAAGCCUGUGAAGGUGAGUUGAGAAGCUUGCUGGAGGUAUCAGAAGUGCGAAUGCUGACAUGAGUAACGACAAUGGGUGUGAAAAACACCCACGCCGAAAGACCAAGGUUUCCUGCGCAACGUUAAUCGACGCAGGGUUAGUCGGUCCCUAAGGCGAGGCUGAAAAGCGUAGUCGAUGGAAAACAGGUUAAUAUUCCUGUACUUCUGGUUAUUGCGAUGGAGGGACGGAGAAGGCUAGGCCAGCUUGGCGUUGGUUGUCCAAGUUUAAGGUGGUAGGCUGAGAUCUUAGGUAAAUCCGGGAUCUUAAGGCCGAGAGCUGAUGACGAGUGUUCUUUUAGAACACGAAGUGGUUGAUGCCAUGCUUCCAAGAAAAGCUUCUAAGCUUCAGGUAACCAGGAACCGUACCCCAAACCGACACAGGUGGUUGGGUAGAGAAUACCAAGGCGCUUGAGAGAACUCGGGUGAAGGAACUAGGCAAAAUGGCACCGUAACUUCGGGAGAAGGUGCGCCGGUGAGGGUGAAGGACUUGCUCCGUAAGCUCAUGCCGGUCGAAGAUACCAGGCCGCUGCGACUGUUUAUUAAAAACACAGCACUCUGCAAACACGAAAGUGGACGUAUAGGGUGUGACGCCUGCCCGGUGCCGGAAGGUUAAUUGAUGGGGUUAGCUAACGCGAAGCUCUUGAUCGAAGCCCCGGUAAACGGCGGCCGUAACUAUAACGGUCCUAAGGUAGCGAAAUUCCUUGUCGGGUAAGUUCCGACCUGCACGAAUGGCGUAACGAUGGCGGCGCUGUCUCCACCCGAGACUCAGUGAAAUUGAAAUCGCUGUGAAGAUGCAGUGUAUCCGCGGCUAGACGGAAAGACCCCGUGAACCUUUACUAUAGCUUUGCACUGGACUUUGAAUUUGCUUGUGUAGGAUAGGUGGGAGGCUUUGAAGCGUGGACGCCAGUCUGCGUGGAGCCAACCUUGAAAUACCACCCUGGCAACUUUGAGGUUCUAACUCAGGUCCGUUAUCCGGAUCGAGGACAGUGUAUGGUGGGUAGUUUGACUGGGGCGGUCUCCUCCUAAAGAGUAACGGAGGAGUACGAAGGUGCGCUCAGACCGGUCGGAAAUCGGUCGUAGAGUAUAAAGGCAAAAGCGCGCUUGACUGCGAGACAGACACGUCGAGCAGGUACGAAAGUAGGUCUUAGUGAUCCGGUGGUUCUGUAUGGAAGGGCCAUCGCUCAACGGAUAAAAGGUACUCCGGGGAUAACAGGCUGAUACCGCCCAAGAGUUCAUAUCGACGGCGGUGUUUGGCACCUCGAUGUCGGCUCAUCACAUCCUGGGGCUGAAGCCGGUCCCAAGGGUAUGGCUGUUCGCCAUUUAAAGUGGUACGCGAGCUGGGUUUAGAACGUCGUGAGACAGUUCGGUCCCUAUCUGCCGUGGACGUUUGAGAUUUGAGAGGGGCUGCUCCUAGUACGAGAGGACCGGAGUGGACGAACCUCUGGUGUUCCGGUUGUCACGCCAGUGGCAUUGCCGGGUAGCUAUGUUCGGAAUAGAUAACCGCUGAAAGCAUCUAAGCGGGAAACUAGCCUCAAGAUGAGAUCUCACUGGAACCUUGAGUUCCCUGAAGGGCCGUCGAAGACUACGACGUUGAUAGGUUGGGUGUGUAAGCGCUGUGAGGCGUUGAGCUAACCAAUACUAAUUGCCCGUGAGGCUUGACCAU